UCAGAUACCAGUGUGUUUAAAAUAUACAUAUUAUUUUUAUUAUUAUUUUAUUAAUAGCUGUGUACUACUAACCCUGUAUAGAUGUGAUAUGAUUGCUAUCAUUGUUGUAUGGCCUGGCUCAGGCUAAACCCUUUGUAAAACAUGAGCAAAUACAUACAGAGAAUGAAUGCUAUGAUACUUUCUUUUAUUAUCUAGUUUGACAGUCAAUCGUAACGAAAAAAGAACUACUUAAACUACAUUAAAGCUAUAGUGUGUAGUUUCUGU